rnacentral:rRNA from 1 species
AACGAACGUUGGCGGCGUGGAUUAGGCAUGCAAGUCGAACGAAUCCCCACUGGCGUAGCAAUACAUUGGUGGGGGGAAGUGGCGAAAGGGGCAGUAAUGCGUGGGUAAUCUACCUCGGGGACGUGGAUAGCCAUUCUAACGAGUGGGUAAUACGCGGCGAUUUGGUUGAGGGGCAUCCCUUGGCCAGGAAAUGAAUUUCGCCUCGAGAGGAACUCACGUGAUAUUAGCUAGUUGGCGGGGUAACGGCCCACCAAGGCAAAGAUGUCUAGCGGGUGUGAGAGCACGACCCGCGCCACGGGCACUGAGACACUGGCCAGACACCUACGGGUGGCUGCAGUCGAGGAUCUUCGGCAAUGGGCGCAAGCCUGACCGAGCGACGCCGCGUGUGCGAUGAAGGCCUUCGGGUUGUAAAGCACUGUCGAGGGGGAGGAAGCCGAAAGGUUGACCUAUCCCUGGAGGAAGGACGGGCUAAGUUCGUGCCAGCAGCCGCCGUAAAAC